GAUGAACGCUGGCGGCGUGCUUAACACAUGCAAGUCGAACGGAAAGGCCACAGCUUGCUGUGGUACUCGAGUGGCGAACGGGUGAGUAACACGUGGGUGAUCUGCCCUGUACUUCGGGAUAAGCUUGGGAAACUGGGUCUAAUACCGGAUAGGAAUCACAUGUGGGUGUGGGGUUGGAAAGCUUUUGCGGUAUGGGAUGGGCUCGCGGCUUAUCAGCUUGUUGGUGGGGUAGUGGCCUACCAAGGCGUCGACGGGUAGCCGGCCUGAGAGGGUGUACGGCCACAUUGGGACUGAGAUACGGCCCAGACUCCUACGGGAGGCAGCAGUGGGGAAUAUUGCACAAUGGGCGGAAGCCUGAUGCAGCGACGCCGCGUGGGGGAUGACGGCCUUCGGGUUGUAAACUCCUUUCGUCUGGGACGAAGCGAAAGUGACGGUACCUGGAAAAGAAGCACCGGCUAACUACGUG
rnacentral:rRNA from 1 species